rnacentral:rRNA from 1 species
GACAGAGGAUGCAAGCGUUAUCCGGAAUGAUUGGGCGUAAAGCGUCUGUAGGUGGCUUUUAAGUCCGCCGUCAAAUCCCGAGGCUCAACCCUGGACAGGCGGUGGAAACUACCAAGCUGGAGUACGGUAGGGGCAGAGGGAAUUUCCGGUGGAGCGGUGAAAUGCGUAGAGAUCGGAAAGAACACCAACGGCGAAGCACUCUGCUGGGCCGACACUGACACUGAGAGACGAAAGCUAGGGGAGCGAAUGGG